AAAAAAAAAUCAUUAAAACUACGACUUAUCACGUAGGUAACGAAAUAUAUCGUUAUAACACAACUUGCACCCUUGUGGCGUAUUAUGUGAUGAGAAAAAAAAAAUAAUCGUAUGUAAAAGCUCGAAAUGUGUCACCAGUGACAAUUACCCCUAUUGCCCUACCUUAAAUUAACGAUUUUUGCGGUGAAAUUAUAUAUGCAUCUUCCUACGCUGUGAACUGAGGACAAAUGGCGCCACUGGUAUUACUGUCGCCACUAUAUUUUAUAUGUAUAUAAAACAAAAUGGUACCAGCUUCACACAUCAAAAUAUAGACUUAUGGAUAGGUUAUAAGUACUUGUGUAUUUCAUAUUUACCUAUAUCUGUAUAGGUAUUUGUAAAAAUCAAUAAUAUUAAAUAGAUAGUACCGAAUAUUAAUUUUAUAAACGUGUUUAUAAAACCUACUAGGUUAAUUUUAAAAUAAUAUAAAGCUUACACGUGGGUCUCGUAAACAUUAUUGGAUAAUAUACCCAUUCCUGAUAUUCACUUGUUUGACGCGUCUUGGCAAAACUUUGCAAUACAAUACAAUACUUAGCGAAACAGACGGAAUUCAUGUGGAUAUGACGUAAUUAAUAUUUACAUUUUAUACAUACAUUUUAGAAGAAUAUUUGAUUUAUCGCGGUUUUUACAGUUUUAAAAUUAUUUUUUUAUUUUUAGAUCUAUAACGUUUGUAUUUAAAGAUGAUAAAUAUUUAACGAACAAAAACUCGUAUGUACGGACCUAUACAGGAAGGUAUACAAGUAUACAGGGGUUAGGGGUUCACCAGCCGAAAUUUGAAAAAUAAAUUUUAUAUUAUAAUUUACAAUCCAUAGUUUUAUAGUCCAAAAUGUUGUAAAUUUGUAUACUUAUGAUUCACCUCCUCCUUCCCCCACCCAAAAAACCAGUUUUUCUGGUAGGUUCUUAUACAUAAAUUGGGCGCAGUUUACAUAUUGAUGUGUAUACUAAUUAUAUACAGGCAAUAAUAUUAUAAAUUAUUUAGUCAUUGUUAUUAAGUAUAUCGAUGGUGUAUUUAUAUGAUAAGGAUAUCAAGGG